rnacentral:rRNA from 1 species
CCUACGGGUGGCAGCAGUGAGGAAUAUUGGUCAAUGGGCGGAAGCCUGAACCAGCCAAGUAGCGUGCAGGAUGACGGCCCUACGGGUUGUAAACUGCUUUUAUACGGGAAUAACGCGCCUUUCGUGUACGGCUUUGCAUGUACCCUAUGAAUAAGGACCGGCUAAUUCCGUGCCAGCAGCCGCGGUAAUACGGAAGGUCCGGGCGUUAUCCGGAUUUAUUGGGUUUAAAGGGAGCGUAGGCCGCAUGUCAAGCGUGCUGUGAAAUGUCCGGGCUCAACCCGGGACUUGCAGCGGAAACUGGCGUGCUGGAGUGCGCGGAAGGCAGGCGGAAUUCGUGGUGUAGCGGUGAAAUGCUUAGAUAUGACGAAGAACCCCGAUUGCGAAGGCAGCUUGCUGCAGCGGAACUGACGCUGAGGCUCGAAAGCGCGGGUAUCGAACAGGAUUAGAUACCCUAGUAGUC